GAUGAACGCUGGCGGCGCGCCUAACACAUGCAAGUCGAACGAUUAAAGCACCUUCGGGUGUGUAUAAAGUGGCGAACGGCUGAGUAACACGUGGGCAACCUGCCCCUUUCAUUGGGAUAGCCACGGGAAACCGUGGAUAAUACCGAAUACUUCGAGACUUCCGCAUGGAAGACUCGAGCAAGCUCCGGCGGAGAGGGAUGGGCCCGCGGCCUGUUAGCUUGUUGGUGGGGUAACGGCCUACCAAGGCAAUGAUGGGUAGCUGGGUUGAGAGACCGACCAGCCAGAUUGGGACUGAGACACGGCCCAGACUCCUACGGGAGGCAGCAGUGGGGAAUCUUGCACAAUGGGCGAAAGCCUGAUGCAGCGACGCCGCGUGCGGGAUGAAGGCCUUCAGGUUGUAAACCGCUUUCAGCAGGGACGAGGCGAAAGUGACGGUACCUGCAGAAGAAGCCCCGGCUAACUACGUG
rnacentral:rRNA from 1 species